UUGACUGACUGGUCAUUUAUACCCUAUUCUACAUCUAACAAAAAUAUGAUGCAGCUUACAAUAAAAGCUUAUAGAAGACAGCUAAAAUAAAGUCAGAGAGACAUCAGCAGCCAGUGAAAAAGGACUGAUAAUUCUACUAAGAACAGGAAGUAAAACAGUGACCACUUCAACCUUAAAUGUAUUUCUGACCUUCCUGGUAGCCAAGGCAAAGCAAAACAAAACGAAAUGAAAAGUCAAGAUGCUGUCUAUAGCUUUAAUACACUGAAAGAAAUACAGAAAGACAUCCUCAAAAUGCAAACGACUAAGACAAUUGCCCAGGUGCAGUGGCUCACGCUUGUAAUCCCAGCACUCUGGGAGGCCGAGGCGGGCGGAUCAACUGAGGUCAGGAGUUGGAGACCAGCCUGACCAACAUGGUGAAACCCUGUCUCUACUAAAAAUACAAAAUUAGCCAGGAUUGGUGGGACAUGCCUGUAAUCUCAGCUACUCGGGAGGCUGAGGCAGGGGAAUCACUUGAACCCGGGAGGCAGAGGUUGCAGUGAGCCAAGAUCGCACCAUCGCACUCCAGCCUGGGCAACAAGAGUGAAACUCCGUCUCAAGAAGAAAAAAAAGAAAAGACUAAGACGAUCAACUCCCUAGACAGACAGCUCCUUCUGGCUUGGCAGAAGAUGUGCAAAACUGUACUUUCUGUAUCACUAUAUUGACCUCAAAUUAAAGCCAAGGAUAUAACACUACAUUGUAAUUCACUGGAAGUAUUUCAAAUACAGACCAAAGCAGGAAACCUUCUGGUGUUCCCAGUUGCCUGGGACUGAGCUUAGAGAACUCGAGAAAGACAUCAUGGAGGGCAACAUUGCUUAUGGUACUGGAAUCACUAUGCCAUGUAUUGAUGGCCCGCGUCUGCAGACAAUGUCCUUAAUAUGAUUUGAUGCAAACGACCACAUGCAACCACCCAGAGCAGCAGUGAUGUUGCUGAAUGGACCACGAGGAAGAGGAAGACUGACAGGUGACAGGAAAGGACAGGACACCUGCCUGGCUGAGACGCCACCGCCAGGCCUGGGAGAAGAGGGGAGUUGUGUGAGGAUUGGAAAGGAGGAGAAGGCAUCUCUAGGGUGAGAGACGGCAGAUGUGACAAUACUGAGGUGGGAAUGUGUCACUCUUCCACUCUCCAGUGAAGUCACGCUGGUUUUCCCUUCCCGUAAACACAUUCUAAAGCACAGGCAUCCCAGUCGUGACCUCCCGAUCCAGUUCUCCUGACUCCUCCAUCCUCAGUUCCCACAGAAUGCUCGCCACUCCCAUACUGACCUCAUUCAAGACCAUUCCCUGACCACAUGCGCUCUGCAUUUCCACGCAUCGGCCCCACUCUUCCUUCUGCCCAAUGAGGCAAGAGAUGGGGACAGUCAUGAGACCAGGGCUGGGGGCUGGCUGUGUGGGUGAGUAGCUGCCUCUGCCACCGACUUGCUGUUGAGCUGAUGAUGGGCAAGUUACUUAAGCCCUCUGGGGCUUCAUGUCCUCAUCUACGAAGUAGACAGGUGCAGCACCCACUUCACGGCGGUGCUAUGAUGACGAAACGUGCUGAUGCAUGUGGAGACCUCUAGAGCACAGUGCUCAGCUCAUAAGUACACUCAGCUAAUGCCGGCUGACAGUCGUGGUACUAACAGUAAGAGCAGCCUCACUCUUACUAUUAGCCCUUCAAGGGCCAGAUCAAGGCUACCCAGUUCAGAAACUUUCUCCUCAUUUACAAUAAAGAUCCAUUGCUCCUUCAAAUUUAACUGCUUUCUAAUUUGUAUAUUUCGAUGGUGACCCUGAUUUCAUUCUGUCUUGAGUGUUUGCCUUCUAGGGACAAUAUCAGAUUUCAGCGAUUCCCCCAUCACCCAGCCAGGAGGCACUUGAUGUUUGGCUUGAAUUGAGAAACCUGAAGAAUAUUGCGACACGGAGAUUUACUCCGAUGUCAAACUUCCUUCCUAGGGCAGGAAGCCCAUAUUCAAGUACAGCAGGAA
rnacentral:lncRNA from 10 species